UCGAACCCGGGUCUUCGGCGUGACGAGCGAACGCUUUAACCACUAGGCUACCCGACCGCCCCUGGUUUUUUUCUUUGGUCGAUAUAUCCAUGGACAUAAUAACGAUGAAAAAUAUUCACGAAUGUAAAAAGUAUUCAAGUUAGUUUAUGAAACACCUGUACUUUCAUUCCCGAGAUACGCAUGUUACCAUUUCACGUGUUUCUGGUUUGUUGUUUGUUAAUGAUGUUUUAUUUAUGUUUACGUUCAAAGGCUUUCGGUUUUGGAAGGCUCUAGCGCUUAGCGUUGCCAAGAUAAAAGUCCACCUACUGGUUUCUAUGCUCUAUCAUUAUAUCUAUUCUGCCUCGGUAACAUUCCUAGCCAGUUGUGGAAGGGUGAAUUGUGUUUGAUGCCGCUGUCAGGGUAGAUAUGCUGGUAGCUAAAUCGGGGAAGAUACAGUGGGUAUAGCGUUAGCCCCGUGAGCUGUAGGUCUGUGUUUGGAUCCCUCGGCCGCCUCUGUGGUGUAGUGGGUACAGCGUCAGCCCGGACAGCUUAAGGUCGGUGUUUGGAUCCCUCGGCCGCCUCCGUGGUGUAGUGGGUACAGCGUCAGCCCGGACAGCUGUAGGUCUGUGUUUGGAUCCCCUGGCCGCCUCCGUGGUGUAGUGGGUACAGCGUCAGCCCGGACAGCUGUAGGUCUGUGUUUGGAUCCCAUACAGCUGUAGGUCAGUGUUUGUAUCCCUCGGCCGCCUCCGUGGUGUAGUGGAUCCAAUGUCAGCCCGGAGAGCUGUAGGUCGGUGUUUGGAUGCCCUGGUCGCCUCCGUGGUGUAGUGGAUCCAGUGUCAGCCCGGAGAGCUGUAGGUCGGUGUUUGGAUCCCUCGGCCGCCUCCGUGGUGUAGUGGAUCCAAUGUCAGCCCGGACAGCUGUAGGUCGGUGUUUGGAUCCCCUGGUCGCCUCCGUAUUGUAGUGGGUACAGCGUCAGCCCGGACAGCUGUAGGUCUGUGUUUGGAUCCCCUGGCCCCCUCCGUGGUGUAGUGGGUACAGCAUCAGCCCGGACAGCUGUAGGUCGGUGUUUGGAUCCCCUGGUCGCCUCCGUGUUGUAGUGGGUACAGCGUCAGCCCGGACAGCUGUAGGUCUGUGUUUGGAUCCCCUGGCCGCCUCCGUGGUGUAGUGGAUCCAAUGUCAGCCCGGACAGCUGUAGGUCGGUGUUUGGAUCCCCUGACCGCCUCCGUGGUGUAGUGGGUAUAGCGUCAGCCCGGACAGCUGUAGGUCUGUGUUUGGAUCCCGUACAGCUGUAGGUCAGUGUUUGGAUCCCUCGGUCGCCUCCGUGGUGAAGUGGAUCCAUUGUCAGCCCGGAGAGCUGUAGGUCGGUGUUUGGAUCCCCUGGCCGCCUCCGUGGUGUAGUGGGUAUAGCGUCAGCCCGGACAGCUGUAGGUCGGUGUUUGGAUCCCUCGGCCGCCUCCGUGGUGUAGUUGAUCCAAUGUCAGCCCGGACAGCUGUAGGUCGGUGUUUGGAUCCCCUGGCCGCCUCCGUGGUGUAGUGGGUACAGCAUCAGCCCGGACAGCUGUAGGUCUGUGUUUGGAUCCCCUGACCGCCUCCGUGGUGUAGUGGGUAUAGCGUCAGCCCGGACAGCUGUAGGUCUGUGUUUGGAUCCCGUACAGCUGUAGGUCAGUGUUUGGAUCCCUCGGUCGCCUCCGUGGUGAAGUGGAUCCAUUGUCAGCCCGGAGAGCUGUAGGUCGGUGUUUGGAUCCCCUGGUCGCCUCCGUGGUGUAGUGGAUCCAAUGUCAGCCCGGAGAGCUGUAGGUCGGUGUUUGGAUCCCCUGGCCGCCUCCGUGGUUCGUGUCCUGAAUUUAACGCGUUUAACAUGUUUGUGAAAAUAUUGCAGAAAGAAAAUUGCUUGUUUUGAAGUUUUGUUUCAAGGGUAUUACUAGUUCAUUCCACUGUGAUUAAUUCCCUGGAUCGCUACCAUAGCUUCGUUUGGAACCCGAUUCUAUCUUAAAUACAAAAGUCCAAAGAUGAGCUGUAUAAUUUACUCAACCAGUUUCGCUGCAAUAUAUUAUUGGCUGUGUUUGAUAUUCAUUCCGUACGGGUACAAUAAAUUGAUAUUUAUUGUGCGUUGUGAUUUGUGCAUUUUGAACUGCUUUAUAUUGAUAUAAAUAAACGUUAUUUACUG